CACUCCACAAAUUCAUCCACAACAACAAUUAGAAAAACAAAUUUAGAAUGAACAAAAAGGAAUCAUCUUCGUAAGUCUUACCUCUGCACAUCAUUGUUUUUUUGUU
rnacentral:ribozyme from 17 species